CAGGGAUGGAGCUUUCUCAUCAGUCUCUACAGCUGCACUCCCUCAGAUAAUCAAUUAUUUUCAUUUAUAUUAUACAGGGCUCGUCUGUUGCUGUUCGAGAUUUUGCGAUGAACGAAUUAAAAAAGGAUGUAUCUGGAGAGAUGUCUUCAACUACAAAGCUUUUUGGAAUGGAAGGGAUAGGAAAGAAAAAGAUUUCAGGUAUAUCAUUCAAGGAUUUUUGCUAUUCGUUUUGUAUUAUUUUCUUUUCCUAAAGAUUUCUGUAUUUCUACAUUACGUCUUAUAGUUUUAGACUUUCAGGACCUGAAUUGAAUGCCGAAAUUCGAAACUUGUGAGAAUGUUGAAUAACUACUUACUACUUGUAUUUGAUUAUCUCGGAUAUAAUUUGUGUCUCAAUAGAAAAUCAAAACUCGUGGAAUGUUGAUUAAGUAUGUUACUUACCAUUUGUGUUUAAUUAUUUAGGAGAUAAUUAAUGUCUCAUUCGAAAUUCGGAACUUGAGUGAAUGUUGAUCAACUAUGUUAGUCACCAUUUGUGUUUAAUUAUCUAGGAGAUAAUUUAUGUCUCAUUCGAAAUUUGAAACUUGUGUAAAUGUUAUCAACUAUGUUUGUAAGCACUUUGUUUAAUUAUCUAGGAGAUCAUUUCUCAUUCAGACAGUAAACGUUUUGAAGAUUAUUUCACAAAUAUAAAAGAUAUCUUGGAGAAGCUUCUGUCUGAACUUAUUUAUUGGUGGAAACCGAGCCUAGAAAUAACAUUUUUCAUCCCCAUUUUGGAGCUAGCUUGCUAGAAACUGGAAAAUGUGAUAAUUUUGAGCAUCUCUAAAUAUCUCUUUCUUUUUCUUUUCAUAGGAUAAUUCUGGUUUGUUUAAAAACCUUUUACAAGAACUGAUGCAGAAGGAAAGCUUGUCUGGUGUACCUCACAUGCCAGUUUUUGUUUCAUUAGUGGAAAUAGAAGGAGAAACUUUUAUGGGUCAAGAAGCAAUAUACAAAAAGUGUAAGUGUAUUUUACUAGCUGCAAAUUAGUGUCAGCGGCUGAGUAUUUAUAUUCUUUUUAAUUUAUUACUUUGUUUUUCUAUGUAAAUUUGAGUGUAAUGAUGUAAAAACUAUAAGCUCUUUAUAAAUAUAGUUUAGUAUGAAUAAUAAUUAGUCAUGAUGUACCCUAUUGGGA